CCAUGAUCGUGAGACGGUGAUUUAAACAUGAAAGCUACGCACAUAGAUUUCCGAUGGGUAUUUACGAUUACGAAUUCAAGCUAUAAAACUAUACUCAUGAUAUAAUGAUCUUAUCUUGAUUUUUAGUUUCGUAACUGAUGAGCUCUAGUCGUUAAUGGAUUUCUAUCUAGAUAGUAAGAGUACCAUCGAUUGAUCAAGCAUGGGUAAUAUACGUAUUCAGGCGGUUCUGUGAAAAUAUAGAUUACGGGGAUUACGUAUGAUGCGUCAUUGGAUUGCUAUAAAUAAACGCUUACCUGAUUUGAUACUCGACAACCCGAUUGACUAAAAAAUAAAACAAUAUUAAUGCUGAGCGGUAGGAUAUAGUUAAAUACAUUCAAGGAGAGCUUCAAAAUUGCACUCAUGAAUUGCUCCAAUAUAUGAUAUACGAGCUUGGUUUAGGAUGAGGAAAGGGAAUUCUAUGAUGUUUGAAGUUCAACAGGGGGUGCAAAAACGAAUCGACUAUUGCUACAAUGGGAAGUUAAAAACACAAAAUGGGCGCGUACAAUACAGCGUUAGAGACUAUCUUGGAUAUGUAGGCAUUUAAAAAACAAUGCGGUUGUGAAAUACAAAAGUGAUAUUUGAUAUCAAUUAAGACAUCAACUGCUGAGAUAAUGAUGAGUCUAAAUGGAAAAUGUAUACCACCGAGUAUGAAUCCGGAAUGCUCUCCAAGAAGCAGCGUUUCGGAAUCUCUCGCCCAAUUAGAUAUCGAGGAACGCUAUGACAUCAUCAAAGAGCUAGGCAGUGGUACCUAUGGAAAGGUUCUCCUCGGAGAAUGUCGAGACACACAAACAAAAGUGGCUUUAAAAGUGCUUCCUAAGAAAAAUACCAAAUAUCGUGACUUCCAAAGAGAAUUUUGCUACAGCUAUUAUUUCUCUCCACACGAGGCUAUUAUCAAGACAUAUGAUUUUGCCUUCGAGACUAUGGAAUCCUAUGUUUUUGCCCAGGAAUACGCACCACUGGGUGAUCUAUUUGAAGCAAUAACUCCUCAAAUUGGAUUAGGAGAAGAGAUAUGCAAGCGAGUGAUGAGACAAAUAGCCUCCGCUCUCGAGUUUAUGCAUAGUAAGAGCUUAGCACACAGGGACGUUAAGCCGGAGAACAUUCUUUGUUUUGAUCAUAAUUUGACACGAAUCAAACUUAUUGAUUUUGGAAUGACUCGGAAGGUUGGUACUAUGGUCCGAAAAACCAGUGGUAGCAUCCCAUACACGCCUCCCGAGGUUUGUGAGGCUGUGAGAAAUGAACGGUACAGUGUUGAAACAAGUGCUGACGUUUGGGCUUGUGUUGUGUUGCUAUUUUGUACACUAACUGGAAACUUUCCAUGGGAACAUGCCCACAGGAAGGAUAUAUACUAUGUUGAAUUUUUAAACUGGCAACGACGAAAAACUACUAAGGUACCUUCCCAAUGGAGAAAGUUUUCUCCAAGACUACUGAAAUUAUUUCGCAAAAUGCUAGAACCUUGUCCAGAUAAAAGAAGCUCAAUUAAAGAAAUCCACAAGUAUUUCUCUGAUACCUGGGUUCAGGUAAAGGAAGGUGGGAACGCCGAAGAGUGCAAUAAUGACGUAGGAUAUGACGACGAUGACGUCUACAGUCAUGGCUCAAAUACACAUAUGGCUGAACUCGCCGCCAUUUUGAAUUCUCAAGGUAUCGAGACCAAAGUCAACAAGAAGCUUCGCGAGAGAAGGAUUUGUGAAUGGUUACUGUCCACGUGACUAAUACCAGAUGUUCACGUGACGUAUUGUCUCAUAGAGACAUUGACAUCGGUAAUCACUGCCAUAGUUUGUCUUCUUAUCAUAUACGUCAUUAUUACGAUCUCUUAAAGCCAAAGACAUAGCAUCAUUAACGUUCUUCCGUUUUAAUAUCCAGACAAAGACUCACACGAAUUCCUUUAUGUUCAAUAAGAUACCUUAUUUAAUCUUUUAUCGUUUGAAAGGUUACUUUCGCAACGUAUUAUGGGUAACCAACGGAAAUUUUGUUUUGAACAUCAUGCAUCAGUAAAGCUGUUGAAUGAAAAUUAUUGAUUAUCGUAGCAAUAUGAUGUGAACAUGUUUAUAACUAUUCUAAGUAUCUUUACAAUCUGAUGCUUCACUAUAUACUAUUAUGAUGAUACAUUAGCCAAUUUAAAUCAUUGUAAUUAAAAGAUCUCUCUAGGUAUUCAUAUUUAAUGUGUGCAAUAUGAUUUUAAUAAGAUCGACACCUGUUAGUUUCUAAGUUAUCUCUGAUACACCUGAUGUGAAUUGUCUGAGAAUUAUUACAUGUUGAGUUAUAUCAGAGGUGUUGUGUUUAAUCAACUAUAGCUUUAUGAUAUGAUCUCUAUAAUUACAACAGUGCACCCCUCCAAAACUUUUGCAACUCUCCCAGUGGACCACCUAAAUGUAUAUGUAUAUCACAUUACAAUCUAAUGUAAUGGAAAAAUAUCAAAUUGAGAGUCAGGGGUUAACAAAAAUUUGGAGGACAGUCUAAAUUGGACAAUUAUAUUUAGUUUUAAUAGUCCUAAGCCUUUUAAGUAUUUUAGUUUUAAUGACAAUCAUAUGUAUUAUGUUUUCCAAAGGUGUUUUUUUAGUUAAUGAUAACACAUACCAUGUUUGUCUGAUUUUGUUUUGUAUGUCUCACUUAUAUAUGUAAAAUGUGAUUUUAAUUUUUUUCAGAGUAGGUAAUUAAAAAGUUGUAUUUGUAGAUCGAAUUCAUAUAAUUACAAUACCUGGGCUGCUAUGAAAGCAGUGAAGGACCGAUCUUAAAGGAUGGGACGACCUAGGCUGAGAGCAUUCUUAGCCCUCGCACUUACUGAAACUGAG
rnacentral:misc_RNA from 1 species